GUAGGUGGCAAGCGUUGUCCGGAAUUAUUGGGCGUAAAGCGCGCGCAGGCGGUCCUUUAAGUCUGAUGUGAAAGCCCACGGCUCAACCGUGGAGGGUCAUUGGAAACUGGGGGACUUGAGUACAGAAGAGGAAAGCGGAAUUCCAAGUGUAGCGGUGAAAUGCGUAGAGAUUUGGAGGAACACCAGUGGCGAAGGCGGCUUUCUGGUCUGUAACUGACGCUGAGGCGCGAAAGCGUGGGGAGCAAACAGGAUUAGAUACCUUGGUAGUCCACGCCGUAAACGAUGAGUGCUAAGUGUUAGGGGGUUUCCCGCCCCCUUAGUGCUGCAGCUAGCGCAUUAAGCACUCCGCCUGGGGAGUACGGCCGCAAGGCUG
rnacentral:rRNA from 1 species